CCAGCCUGCAAUAAACAGCCACAACCUGCUGCUGCGGCUGCCUUCCGACCCAGGCUGAACGAGUUCAAUUCGCCCGAGCUGCGUGCUCCCGCAGCCGCCCAGCAGCCACCCACUGCCAUACUGCCAGGGGAAGAACACUCAGAAUAGCAGGGAGGGACAAAAAACGAGGCGGCCUUUCAAUCUACUCCUUCCAUCUGCAGAGGAGGCGAUUGGUGAUCGGAGAUGCUGCUUGACCUGCUGUGUAUUUUCAGGAAUUUCUGGUCAACUGGGCAGGGAGGCUGUGAGCUGGCCCUGUGGACCGGUAGACCAUAAGAGAUGCUGGUAUGCUGUGCCAUCAUGUACCUUGAUAAAAUAGCACUGACCGUUACAAAGAUAGACAUAAAGUGCUAGAGUAACUCAGCGGGUCAUGCAGCAUCUGUGAAAAUCAAGGAUAGGUGAUGCUUCAGGUUCUUCGAACCCUAUGCCACAUUGAACAAAUUACCAAUAUACAGAUGAUAUCUUUCAUGA